CCUACGGGUGGCAGCAGUGAGGAAUAUUGGUCAAUGGACGAGAGUCUGAACCAGCCAAGUAGCGUGAAGGAUGACUGCCCUAUGGGUUGUAAACUUCUUUUAUAAAGGAAUAAAACGAGGCACGUGUGCCUUUUUGCAUGUACUUUAUGAAUAAGGAUCGGCUAACUCCGUGCCAGCAGCCGCGGUAAUACGGAGGAUCCGAGCGUUAUCCGGAUUUAUUGGGUUUAAAGGGUGCGUAGAUGGGUUGUUAAGUCAGUUGUGAAAGUUUGCGGCUCAACCGUAAAAUUGCAAUUGAUACUGGCAGUCUUGAGUACAGUUGAGGUAGGCGGAAUUCGUGGUGUAGCGGUGAAAUGCUUAGAUAUCACGAAGAACCCCGAUGGCGAAGGCAGCUUACUAAACUGUAACUGACAUUGAGGCUCGAAAGUGUGGGUAGCAAACAGGAUUAGAUACCCUUGUAGUC
rnacentral:rRNA from 1 species